rnacentral:rRNA from 1 species
AUGGUGGCAGCCGAAGUUGAGGUGGUCUUGCUUGAGGUAGUAGUAGUGGUGGCUGACGACGACCCCAUCGAAGGAGUUGUUGAUGUAGUGGGCGUUGUCAGCACCGUCGUGGUCGAAGUCGAGGUUGUACUCGUGGUAGAUGGAGCCUUUCACGAAGACAACAGUAACAAUGUUGACGCCCCUCCCUCCUUGAAAAUGUUCUUGAACAAAGCAUCUAAGGAGCGGCAUACCACUCGUGGCCCAUGCAACCUGGCUGACAGGGCCGGUCCUAAGAUUUCAGGGGCCCGGGGUGGAGCUAGAAAAUGGGGCCUCUUAACAUAA